AAAAUAUAAAUUAAUAACAAUAAAUAGUAUAAUAAAAGUAAUUUUAAUAUUAAAAUAAAUAAUGGGGGUUAAAGUAUUUUAAUAGAAAAAAUUAUAAAUUUUAUAGAAAAUUAGUAUAGUAAUAGAAAUUUGAAAUAUUUGAAAAUAAAUUUAUAAAAAAGUAAAUUUUAUUUAUUGUAUCUUGUGUAUCAGAGUUUAUUAAAAAAAAUUUUUUAAUUAAAAAAAUCUCGAAUUUAAAAGAGUUAAUUAAUUAAAAAAAUUUAAUGUAAAAUAAUUAUUUUAAAUAAUUAAUUAGAAAUGAAAUGUUAAUCGUUUUUAAAUAUAUCUAGUUAUUUUAGAAAAAAAUUUAAUUUUAAAUUUAUUUAAUUUAAAAUAUUAAUUAAUUUAAUAUUUAAAAAAUUAAAUUUUAUAAUUUAAGGGAUAAACUUUAAAUUAAAUUAUUAUAAUAUAAAAAUUUUUUUUUUUAAAAUUUUUAAAAUUUAUAUUGUUUAAAAAUUAAAAUUUUUUAUAAAAAUUUUUAAUAAAAAUAAAAUUUAAUAAAUUAAAUUUAAUUUUUUAUAAAAUUAUAAUAUUUAAUAAAUAAAUAUUAGAAAAAAUGAUAAAAUUAGUAUAAUAAAUAUAAUUAUAAUAAUAUAUUAUAAAUUAAUUAUAUAAAAGGAAUUCGGCAAAUAUAUAUAUUCACCUGUUUAACAAAAACAUGUCUUUUUGAUAAAUAAUUUAAAGUCGAAUCUGCCCACUGAUAAAAUUAUUAAAGGGCUGCAGUAUAUUGACUGUACAAAGGUAGCAUAAUCAUUAGUCUUUUAAUUGAAGACUUGUAUGAAGGAUUUGAUGAAAUAUAAACUGUCUCUUAUAUAUUAAUAGAAUUUAAUUUUUUAGUUAAAAAGCUAAAAUUUAUUUAAAAGACGAGAAGACCCUAUAGAGUUUUAUAAUUAUUUUUUAAUUAUUUAUUUAUAAAUAUAAAAAAUUUUUAUUAAAUAAUUAUUUUAUUGGGGUGAUAAAAAAAUUAAAAUAACUUUUUUUAAUAAAUUAACAAAUAUAAAUGAAUAAUUGAUCCAUAAAUUAUGAUUAAAAGAAAUAAUUACCUUAGGGAUAACAGCGUAAUUUUUUUUUUUAGUACAAAUAAAAAAAAAAGUUUGCGACCUCGAUGUUGGAUUAAGAUAAAAUUUAAAUGCAAAAGUUUAAAAUUUUGAUCUGUUCGAUCAUUAAAAUCUUACAUGAUCUGAGUUCAAACCGGUGUAAGCCAGGUUGGUUUCUAUCUUUAGAAAAUUAAAAUAUUUUAGUACGAAAGGAUCAAAUAUUUAAAAUAAUUUUAUUAAAUUAUGAAUAUUAUUAACUAAAAUAUA
rnacentral:rRNA from 1 species